rnacentral:tRNA from 1 species
GGGUAGGUGGCGGAGUGGUCAAACGCACGAGUCUGUAAAACUCGCGGUUUCUAACCUACGGGGGUUCGAAUCCCUCCCUACCCA